UUAAGCGACUAAGCGUACACGGUGGAUGCCCUGGCAGUCAGAGGCGAUGAAGGACGUGCUAAUCUGCGAUAAGCGUCGGUGAGGUGAUAUGAACCGUUAUAACCGGCGAUUUCCGAAUGGGGAAACCCAGUGUGUUUCGACACACUAUCAUUAACUGAAUCCAUAGGUUAAUGAGGCGAACCGGGGGAACUGAAACAUCUAAGUACCCCGAGGAAAAGAAAUCAACCGAGAUUCCCCCAGUAGCGGCGAGCGAACGGGGAGGAGCCCAGAGCCUGAAUCAGUGUGUGUGUUAGUGGAAGCGUCUGGAAAGGCGCGCGAUACAGGGUGACAGCCCCGUACACAAAAAUGCACAUACUGUGAGCUCGAUGAGUAGGGCGGGACACGUGGUAUCCUGUCUGAAUAUGGGGGGACCAUCCUCCAAGGCUAAAUACUCCUGACUGACCGAUAGUGAACCAGUACCGUGAGGGAAAGGCGAAAAGAACCCCGGCGAGGGGAGUGAAAAAGAACCUGAAACCGUGUACGUACAAGCAGUGGGAGCCUCUUAAUGGGGUGACUGCGUACCUUUUGUAUAAUGGGUCAGCGACUUAUAUUCUGUAGCAAGGUUAACCGAAUAGGGGAGCCGAAGGGAAACCGAGUCUUAACUGGGCGUUAAGUUGCAGGGUAUAGACCCGAAACCCGGUGAUCUAGCCAUGGGCAGGUUGAAGGUUGGGUAACACUAACUGGAGGACCGAACCGACUAAUGUUGAAAAAUUAGCGGAUGACUUGUGGCUGGGGGUGAAAGGCCAAUCAAACCGGGAGAUAGCUGGUUCUCCCCGAAAGCUAUUUAGGUAGCGCCUCGUGAAUUCAUCUCCGGGGGUAGAGCACUGUUUCGGCAAGGGGGUCAUCCCGACUUACCAACCCGAUGCAAACUGCGAAUACCGGAGAAUGUUAUCACGGGAGACACACGGCGGGUGCUAACGUCCGUCGUGAAGAGGGAAACAACCCAGACCGCCAGCUAAGGUCCCAAAGUCAUGGUUAAGUGGGAAACGAUGUGGGAAGGCCCAGACAGCCAGGAUGUUGGCUUAGAAGCAGCCAUCAUUUAAAGAAAGCGUAAUAGCUCACUGGUCGAGUCGGCCUGCGCGGAAGAUGUAACGGGGCUAAACCAUGCACCGAAGCUGCGGCAGCGACACUAUGUGUUGUUGGGUAGGGGAGCGUUCUGUAAGCCUGUGAAGGUGGCCUGUGAGGGUUGCUGGAGGUAUCAGAAGUGCGAAUGCUGACAUAAGUAACGAUAAAGCGGGUGAAAAGCCCGCUCGCCGGAAGACCAAGGGUUCCUGUCCAACGUUAAUCGGGGCAGGGUGAGUCGACCCCUAAGGCGAGGCCGAAAGGCGUAGUCGAUGGGAAACAGGUUAAUAUUCCUGUACUUGGUGUUACUGCGAAGGGGGGGACGGAGAAGGCUAUGUUGGCCGGGCGACGGUUGUCCCGGUUUAAGCGUGUAGGCUGGUUUUCCAGGCAAAUCCGGAAAACCAAGGCUGAGGCGUGAUGACGAGGCACUACGGUGCUGAAGCGACAAAUGCCCUGCUUCCAGGAAAAGCCUCUAAGCAUCAGGUAACAUCAAAUCGUACCCCAAACCGACACAGGUGGUCAGGUAGAGAAUACCAAGGCGCUUGAGAGAACUCGGGUGAAGGAACUAGGCAAAAUGGUGCCGUAACUUCGGGAGAAGGCACGCUGAUAUGUAGGUGAAGCGACUUGCUCGUGGAGCUGAAAUCAGUCGAAGAUACCAGCUGGCUGCAACUGUUUAUUAAAAACACAGCACUGUGCAAACACGAAAGUGGACGUAUACGGUGUGACGCCUGCCCGGUGCCGGAAGGUUAAUUGAUGGGGUUAGCGGCAACGCGAAGCUCUUGAUCGAAGCCCCGGUAAACGGCGGCCGUAACUAUAACGGUCCUAAGGUAGCGAAAUUCCUUGUCGGGUAAGUUCCGACCUGCACGAAUGGCGUAAUGAUGGCCAGGCUGUCUCCACCCGAGACUCAGUGAAAUUGAACUCGCUGUGAAGAUGCAGUGUACCCGCGGCAAGACGGAAAGACCCCGUGAACCUUUACUAUAGCUUGACACUGAACAUUGAGCCUUGAUGUGUAGGAUAGGUGGGAGGCUUUGAAGUGUGGACGCCAGUCUGCAUGGAGCCGACCUUGAAAUACCACCCUUUAAUGUUUGAUGUUCUAACGUUGGCCCGUAAUCCGGGUUACGGACAGUGUCUGGUGGGUAGUUUGACUGGGGCGGUCUCCUCCUAAAGAGUAACGGAGGAGCACGAAGGUUGGCUAAUCCUGGUCGGACAUCAGGAGGUUAGUGCAAUGGCAUAAGCCAGCUUGACUGCGAGCGUGACGGCGCGAGCAGGUGCGAAAGCAGGUCAUAGUGAUCCGGUGGUUCUGAAUGGAAGGGCCAUCGCUCAACGGAUAAAAGGUACUCCGGGGAUAACAGGCUGAUACCGCCCAAGAGUUCAUAUCGACGGCGGUGUUUGGCACCUCGAUGUCGGCUCAUCACAUCCUGGGGCUGAAGUAGGUCCCAAGGGUAUGGCUGUUCGCCAUUUAAAGUGGUACGCGAGCUGGGUUUAGAACGUCGUGAGACAGUUCGGUCCCUAUCUGCCGUGGGCGCUGGAGAACUGAGGGGGGCUGCUCCUAGUACGAGAGGACCGGAGUGGACGCAUCACUGGUGUUCGGGUUGUCAUGCCAAUGGCACUGCCCGGUAGCUAAAUGCGGAAGAGAUAAGUGCUGAAAGCAUCUAAGCACGAAACUUGCCCCGAGAUGAGUUCUCCCUGAGACUUAGAGUCUCCUGAAGGAACGUUGAAGACGACGACGUUGAUAGGCCGGGUGUGUAAGCGCAGCGAUGCGUUGAGCUAACCGGUACUAAUGAACCGUGAGGCUUAACCUU
rnacentral:rRNA from 1 species